rnacentral:rRNA from 1 species
CGGACGGGUGAGUAACGCGUGAGUAAUUUGCCUUCGGGUGGGGAAUAACAGCCGGAAACGGCUGCUAAUACCGCAUGAUGCAGCGGCACCUCAUGGUGACAGUUGUUAAAGCGGGGGAUCGCAAGACCUCGCGCCUGAAGAGAAGCUCGCGGCAGAUUAGCUAGUUGGUAGGGUAACAGCCUACCAAGGCAACGAUCUGUAGCCGGCCUGAGAGGGCGGUCGGCCACACUGACACUGACACACGGGUCAGACUCCUACGGGAGGCAGCAGUCGGGAAUUUUGGGCAAUGGGCGAAAGCCUGACCCAGCAACGCCGCGUGAAGGAUGAAGUAUUUCGGUAUGUAAACUUCACAAGAGUGGGAAGAAUAAGUGGGGGCUAAUACCCCCCAUGAUGACGGUACCAUUUGUAAGCUCCGGCUAACUCCGUGCCAGCAGCCGCGGUAAUACGGGGGGAGCAAGCGUUGUUCGGAUUUACUGGGCGUAAAGGGCGCGUAGGCGGCGCAACAAGUCAGUUGUGAAACCUCUGGGCUUAACCCAGAGCGGUCAACUGAUACUGUCGUGCUAGAGUGCGGAAGGGGCAACUGGAAUUCUCGGUGUAGCGGUGAAAUGCGUAGAUAUCGAGAGGAACACCUGCGGCGAAGGCGGGUUGCUGGGCCGACACUGACGCUGAGGCGCGAAAGCUAGGGGAGCGAAAGGGAUUAGAUACCCCUGUAGUC